rnacentral:tRNA from 1 species
CGGGAUGUGGCGCAGUCUGGUAGCGCGUACGGCUGGGGGCCGUGAGGUCGCAGGUUCAAGUCCUGUCAUCCCGACCA